UCCCACGGCAGAGAGAUCCUGCAAACAAACCUCUCAAAAACUGCCCUCCACGAACGGCAACUCCUGAGAAAUCAACAGGGAACUGCUGAAAAGGACAAAGGUCCUGUUCCAACAAAUCUGGAAAAAAAAGAAUUUGCAUAACAAUUCAUGCCCAGGUUGGAGAAAAUUAUCAGAAGCAAAAAAAGAAAGACAAAGUGUGAAAAGGCAAGUUUGGCUCUUUGAUCAGCAGAGCAGCAGUAGAUGAUUUUGCGUUUAACUUCACUUAGGCCAGGACCGUUUAGACUAGGUGUCCUGUCAUUCAGCACAACAGAAGUCUCAUUUCUUGUGGAGCUAUUUGGAAAUUGCCUAAGGAAAAAUUAAGAAUAAUGGAAGUUUCUGGACUGGAGCUCACCAGGGGAAUGCCUAACGUAGUAAGCAAACUCUGUAAGGGGAGAUCCGAAGGUACAAAGUAAACUUUCUCUGUGAAUAUCUUCAAGCAAAUUCAAGGAAAUUAUGCCUGACCCUCAGUUGCCUCAUACCAACGUUAAAAAACGAGCACCUGAGCAUAAUCUGAAGAAUCGUGCACAGAAGGGAGUUGUUCAUUCAUAGGAUAUUCAGCUGCUGGCCCUGAUAUCCCACAUUCGUUCCGUUCCUGGCAGCAUGUUUCUGUCAUGCCUUGCUCAGUCACGGGUUUGUGAGAACGAAACAUUUAACUGACAUGUAAGAUUGAACUUCAUCUCCCCGAGCACACCUUAACACUGUUCAGUGUUUAAGAUUUCCAGGAGGGAAUGGGCAUUGCUAUGUCUGCGGCUCUGUUAUUAAGCGGAAAAGUUGGCUUCUUCGCUGAUUGCAGUCCCUUGGUUUUUGCCAUUAUUUAUUGAGGCAAAACAUUCUGAAUGCUACUGAAAUCUCUUAAUAAACUUUAUUCUGCAAAAUUCAAUGUAUCUGUUGAUUACGUAGAGAUUCAACCUAGUUGGUUUGUGCCGUUGUUAAAGGAAUGUCUGUAUUAGAACACAGUACUCCAACCAGGCAAGCAGGGCAGCAAAAUGACCUCACUUUAUGUGCUUGACAUUUUUAAUAGGAUCAUAUUGCUUACUGUAUGAAACCUCCCAUCUCCUGUAACUGUAUAUUUCAAGCCCACAAAAUAACAAUAUCAUUUUGUAAUAAAAUUUCUAGUGCUUUAUGUAUUUUCUAUACACCUCUCACAGUUUAUGUGUACUUCAGCUGUCAUUUUACCUCCCUAUCUUUAGCAUCUCAACCUUUUUUCCUGCUCGCUUUCAGGUUCCUGAUGAUUUACCAGCAAAUUCUCACGAGUACCCUCACUGAAAAAUGUAUUGUAGAUCAUUUAGUGAUAAUCUCUUCCAGCAUCAAACAGCAGUUGCAGUGGAUUAAGAAAGAAGCCAAAGAAGCCACAGCUUAGACUGAUUUUAGGACACUCAGAGGACUCCUUUGGAAGCAGGACACUUGGGUUUUCUUCCCCGCUACAGUGAGUGUUUAUUUAUUUAUAAAAUGGACAAAGGGUCAGAGGCAUUACCUGAAGAAAAAAAAGUGUUUUCUUCACUGCUUGGCGAUCGAGGGAAUCUCUUAGAAAGCGGGGGAAGAUCAGUUAAAAUCCUG